rnacentral:rRNA from 1 species
CUACGGAGGGUGCAAGCGUUAUCCGGAAUCACUGGGUUUAAAGGGUGCGUAGGCGGCUAAAUAAGUCAGAGGUGAAAUCUUCCUGCUUAACGGGAAAAUUGCCUUUGAAACUGUAUAGCUUGAAUUAAGUUGAGGUUAGCGGAAUGUGACAUGUAGCGGUGAAAUGCAUAGAUAUGUCAUAGAACACCAAAUGCGAAGGCAGCUGGCUAGGCUUAUAUUGACGCUGAGGCACGAAAGCGUGGGGAGCGAACAGGAUUAGAAACCCUAGUAGUCC